rnacentral:rRNA from 1 species
GCGGGGAAGAGUAGCUUGCUACUUGACCUAGCGGCGGACGGGUGAGUAAUGCUUAGGAAUCUGCCUAUUAGUGGGGGACAACAUCUCGAAAGGGAUGCUAAUACCGCAUACGUCCUACGGGAGAAAGCAGGGGACCUUCGGGCCUUGCGCUAAUAGAUGAGCCUAAGUCGGAUUAGCUAGUUGGUGGGGUAAAGGCCUACCAAGGCGACGAUCUGUAGCGGGUCUGAGAGGAUGAUCCGCCACACUGGGACUGAGACACGGCCCAGACUCCUACGGGAGGCAGCAGUGGGGAAUAUUGGACAAUGGGGGGAACCCUGAUCCAGCCAUGCCGCGUGUGUGAAGAAGGCCUUUUGGUUGUAAAGCACUUUAAGCGAGGAGGAGGCUACCGAGAUUAAUACUCUUGGAUAGUGGACGUUACUCGCAGAAUAAGCACCGGCUAACUCUGUGCCAGCAGC